UUGAAAAAGUUAAUACUUAUCUUUUCAUCGUAAUGUUUCUGUCACACCCUGGAUUACCGCGUUCCCCGGGCUCGCCAACAGGCCUGCCGUAUACAUCGAAAUUUUUUGUGUAUAGAAGCGAUAGCUGUACCUGCAAACAGAUAAAAGCUACUACAAGAAGUACAGAGCUGCUAAAACUGAAACUUAUAUAACUAAAAAGGCCCACUGUACAUACAAGUUCCAAAAUACAAUCAUCUCUCAGAGAGUAAAACUAAACACAACUGUAUCUACAUGACAACAUCCAAAACUAUCUUUG
rnacentral:lncRNA from 1 species